rnacentral:rRNA from 1 species
UAGUCCUNUGAUUAAUCCAUCGAAUUCAUCGUAUGGAUCGCGGGGGAUACUGCUUGGCUAGGGGACCAGAGAAGCAGACAGGAUUUCCGGGGUAGGGAUGAAAUCCUAUAAUCCCUGGAAGACCACCCUUGGCGAAAGCUGUCUGCUAAAACCCGCCCCAACGUGAGGGAUGAAAGCUGGGGGAACCAACCCGAUUAAAUUCCCCGGUAGUCCCCGCUGUAAACCAUGCAGGCUAGGUGUUUGGACGGACACCUGCCCUUCUAGUGCCCCAAGAAAGCUGUUGAGCCUGCCCCCUGGGGAGUACCAUCCCAAGAUUGAAACUUAAAGGAAUUGGCGGGGGAACACCUCCAGGGGUGAAACUUGGGGUUUAAUUGGAGUCAACCCCCGAAAUCUCACCGGGAGCAACAGCAUUGUUAAUGCCAGAUUAAAGGUCUUGCCUUACCAGCUUAAAAGAAGUGCAUGGGCCUCCCCCGUUCCUGCCUGGAGGUGUCCUGGUAAGUCAGGGAACCAUCGAAACUCGCGUCCUCUGUUGCUACUAGUCUUGUGCUGGGUACACUGAAGACACCGCCGCUCAUCUCUUGUAGGAAGGAGCAAGGCACGGCCAGUCAGUAUGCCCCGAAUCUCCCAGGCCACACGCUAGCUGCAAUGUCCGGUACUAUGAAUUCCAACCAUCAAAGGCGGAGGCAAUCUCCAAAGUCUGCCGCAUGUGGGAUCGAAGGCUGCAACGCUGCUUCUCGAACAUGUAAUCCUUAAAUAUCUCGUGAUCUCAUCGCACGGUGAAUACGUCCCUGCGUCUUGC